GACGAACGCUGGCGGCGUGCUUAACACAUGCAAGUCGAACGGAAAGGCCCCUUUGGGGGUACUCGAGUGGCGAACGGGUGCGUAACACGGGGGUAAACUGCCCUAGACUUCGGGAUAACUUCGGGAAACUGGGGCUAAUACCGGAUAGGCAUCCUUGCUGCAUGGUGGGGGUUGGAAAGAUUGUGCGGCUUUGGAUGGACUGGCGGGUUAUCGGCUUGUUGGUGGGGUAGUGGGUUACCAAGGCAUUGACGGGUAGCCGGCCUGCGGGGGUGACCGGCCGCCUUGAGACUGAGAGAAGGCACAGACGGCGACGGGAGGCAGCAGGGGGGAAGACUGCUCAAGCGGCGGAGGGCGGGUGCAGCAAGGCUGCGGGCGGUAUGACGGCUUUCGUGGUGAAAACCGCUUGCAGCAGAGGCCAAGGUUGUUGUGACGGUACCUGCAGAAGAAGCACCGGCUAACUACGUG
rnacentral:rRNA from 1 species